ACCCAGACACUGUUGCAUAUACCAGAAAGAUUUUGCUGACAGGACCCUAGGCAACAAGGACCCUCCUGGGUCUGUUGUGAAGGCAACUGCCACACACAUUCUAUGCAUGUCUCAUCCAUAUCACCUGUGCAUGUCAUUAUCUGGGUUACCCAGGUCACAAACCUGAUAAAAGAGAGAGCCCCUGUCCCUUCUCUUUUUUUCCUCUUCCUUGCUUCUCCUCUCUCCCCCCACACCCCAACUUCAAUAAAGGACCUCUAUCUUGGGAACUGUGCUGACUCAGCAUGAUCUGUCCAGGAAUACACUGCUUUUCAAAUAACAAACAUACUUAAGGCUUUCACAUGUUUCUCUCAUGUUCAUAAUUCUCUAGAAUAGAGGCUCAAGGGUUUCUAAGACUAGAAUUUGGAUAAAGCACAUGCUACAUUGUUUCUUAUGGAAUGUUUUCUGCCUGAUAUGAAUUUUCUGAUGGUUUCUUAUACCUGGUACAGGGGUAAAAACUUUCCCUCAUACAUUACUUUGGAAAGGUUUCUUUUAUGCAUGUAUUCUGUGAUGUAUUGUAAAAAAUGAGUCAACUGUUAAGUAUUUGUACAUUCACUAAAUUUGUAGAGUUUUUCUCAAGUAUGCAGUCUUUCUUAGUGAGUGAUUUGCCUCGAUCACUUCAUAUGUUAGUUUCCUCUCCUAUAUGGACUAUCUGAUGAGUUCUAAAAUUAAGAUAAUUUUUGCUUAUUGUAAUGUUUGUUUUUGUUAAAGGAUUUGUCAUAUUAACUGCUUUUGGGAGGUUUCUUCACAGUAUGAAUUCUCUGAGGAGUUCCAAGACUAUGUUUAAGGAAAUCCAGCAUGCUGGGGUCUACCAGCUACAAAGAUGGAAUUACCCCAGUGAGCUCACAUCCCUGAUUUGAAGCACAGUUGGGAAUUCUGAGGAGGGCCUGAAACCUGCUUGCUCAGGGGUGGA